GGCAAGAUAGCUCAGCUGGUGAGAGCGCUCGGCUCAUACCCGGGAGGUCCUCGGUUCGAUCCCGAGUCUUGCUA
rnacentral:tRNA from 1 species